UACGUAGGGUGCGAGCGUUAAUCGGAAUUACUGGGCGUAAAGCGUGCGCAGGCGGUUUUGUAAGUCAGAUGUGAAAGCCCCGGGCUCAACCUGGGAAUGGCAGUGGAAACUAGGGGACUGGAAUCUGGCAGAGGGGGGUGGAAUGGCCGCGUGUAGCAGUGAAAUGCGUAGAGAUGCGGCGGAACACCGAUGGCGAAGGCAGCCCCCUGGGCUGAGAUUGACGCUCAGGCACGAAAGCGUGGGGAGCAAAC
rnacentral:rRNA from 1 species